UCCCAGGUGUCGAAAUAGUAGCCGAGCCUGACUGUUAAUCAGGUGCCGCAAGGCGUGUAGGUGCGAUUCCUACUCUGGGAGCCA
rnacentral:tRNA from 1 species